UACGAAGGGUGCAAGCGUUACUCGGAAUUACUGGGCGUAAAGCGCGCGUAGGUGGUUGUUUAAGUCUGUUGUGAAAGCCCUGGGCUCAACCUGGGAAUUGCAGUGGAUACUGGGCGACUAGAGUGUGGUAGAGGGUAGUGGAAUUCCCGGUGUAGCAGUGAAAUGCGUAGAGAUCGGGAGGAACAUCCAUGGCGAAGGCAGCUACCUGGACCAACACUGACACUGAGGCACGAAAGCGUGGGGAGCAAACAGG
rnacentral:rRNA from 1 species